UACGUAGGUGGCAAGCGUUGUCCGGAUUUACUGGGCGUAAAGCGCGCGCAGGCGGUCCGUUAAGUUCGGUGUGAAAGCUCCCGGCUCAACUGGGAGAGGUCAUCGAAGACUGGCGGACUCGAGGGAGGCAGAGGAAGGUGGAAUUCCCGGUGUAGUGGUGAAAUGCGUAGAGAUCGGGAGGAACACCAGUGGCGAAGGCGGCCUUCUGGGCCUUUCCUGACGCUGAGGCGCGAAAGCGUGGGGAGCGAACCGG
rnacentral:rRNA from 1 species